ACCAGGGGGCGGCACAGAACAUGGUGGGUGUUGGCGAUGUGGUGCUGGCAGUGGGUGGCAGUGGAGGUGUUUCCAGCCCCAUUGGGCCCUGAUGAGAGCAGGAACAUGGCGACAUGGUGGAGCAGCAUGAGGAUCCUCCAUGCUUCACUCCAUGUCAGUGAGUUCCUGGGAAGACAGCAACUGAAACGUCCACUGUGCUGGGCCCUGUUCCAGGACUGGAGACCCAGACUGCAUUAGGGGAAGUCCUUACCAGCUGCCCUCCCAGGUCCAUGAACAGAUUCAUCCCUGCUAUGCACAGUCUGUGGCCUAAUGCGGUUCCACGCAGCUGCCCUAGCUCACUGCUCAGCAGGAGCCAGCCUGGAUGGUCACCAGCACUGCAUGAUGCAUUGGGAGUCCAGCAUCAGCUACCAGAGAGGAACCAGAGGCCUUGAGAGGGACUUGCUGACUUCAGGAACAGAGAUAAAACUCGGCUUCCUGACUCCCAGCCCAACAGCCCUCCUGAGUUCAGUGCAGGGCCUGAGCCUGGAUGAUGCAGCCUCGCGGGCUCCCUCCUGCCUCUUUGUCUCUCAGUCCUCCCAGAGCUGCCCUCUGGCCUGCAGGACAUCCUCCUGCAGAGCGACUGCAGCAGCAGCACACAGAAAUACCACUGCCAUCUUCAGUUUGCCGUGUAUCCAUCCAGAGCCCUCUGUAUGCCUUACGUGCACAGAAGUAUGUAGACAGAAUGCAG